rnacentral:rRNA from 1 species
GAUGAACGCUAGCGGCAGGCUUAACACAUGCAAGUCGAGGGGUAGAAGGAGCUUGCUCCUUUGAGACCGGCGCACGGGUGCGUAACGCGUAUGCAAUCUACCUUUUGCAGAGGGAUAGCCCAGAGAAAUUUGGAUUAAUACCUCAUAGUAUGUGAGGAUGGCAUCAUUUUCACAUUAAAGUCACAACGGCAAAAGAUGAGCAUGCGUCCCAUUAGCUAGUUGGUAAGGUAACGGCUUACCAAGGCUACGAUGGGUAGGGGUCCUGAGAGGGAGAUCCCCCACACUGGUACUGAGACACGGACCAGACUCCUACGGGAGACAGCAGUGAGGAAUAUUGGACAAUGGGCGCAAGCCUGAUCCAGCCAUGCCGCGUGCAGGAUGACGGUCCUAUGGAUUGUAAACUGCUUUUAUACAGGAAGAAACACUCCGACGUGUCGGAGCUUGACGGUACUG